rnacentral:rRNA from 1 species
UACGUAGGGUGCGAGCGUUAAUCGGAAUUACUGGGCGUAAAGCGUGCGCAGGCGGUUUUGUAAGCCAGAUGUGAAAUCCCCGGGCUUAACCUGGGAAUGGCAUUUGGGACUGCAAGGCUCGAGUGCGGCAGAGGAGACUGGAAUUCCUGGUGUAGCAGUGAAAUGCGUAGAUAUCAGGAGGAACACCGAUGGCGAAGGCUGGUCUCUGGGCUGACACUGACGCUCAUGCACGAAAGCGUGGGGAGCAAACAGG